rnacentral:lncRNA from 1 species
CACUAAGAUGCCCCUUCCACACUCCAUUAAAUUGACUUCAUUUUCUUGACAAUGAGAUUUCCAUUUAGUUUUCAUCAACUGCUUAGAUUUCCUCAUCUUCAAAUGCCUCAUUUUCAAAAGCAAUAGGAAGUCUAUGCUUCAUACUAUAUAAUGUGCAAGGCUUCCAUUUAAUGAAUUGUUUGGCUAAUUUUUUUAGGCAAAUAAGCACAUUAAUUUGUACAAGCUAUUAAUACCAAUUAUUAACGCUUUUCAUUUUGUUGGUUUCAGCAAUCUCUGCAUGACACAUACUGCAACAAAAUGGAAAUUGAUUUCACCAAGUUUGGCAACUCUGCAGUGUUUUGUAACCUUUGCAACGACGCUUAUUUGAAAGGCUGGGUUUCAUUAUCCUUCUUUUGCCUGCUUCUCAAGAUGUUGCUGGGAGAUGAGAAAUGUCUGGGCAAUAUUUGCAAUGUACUCUCAAGAGAAGGAGAGGUCACUUCUGGCUAGCCUGCUACCAAAGGAGUGUCUCGGGGAAUCUGGUGCCAUCAUCACACAGAACAAAUAGAUUCCCGCUGUACAUAACUGAAGACUUCCGUGAAUGGUCAGCCACGACCACAUUAAAAGGACCUGCGGACUAACAACCAAAAAGUGAUUCUUGUCGUUUCUAAAAACUGUCCUGAAGUGCUGUUUUCUGUAGGAACUGGUUCCCUGGGUCUUUUUGCUCUGUUUUCUCCAUUAUUUAAACACACUGUCUUCUGUUCUCCUGCUGUUUGCUCCUGUUAACACCACUCAGGACUUAGAGAGCAGGGCAUGGCCUCCCCUACAUUAAUCCUCUCUCUUAACCUCUGCUAGCUAAGACUGCACUGCAAAGUUUGAACACAACUCUACUGAAGUUUAGGUCAUCUUGAAGAAGUAGAGCACAAAAUAACUGACCACGGAUUCAUAAAGUGGUUGCAUAGGGUCACUGUACAGAGCCCUGGCACCCCCGGCCUGCCUCCCUGUGCCAACAGCCAGCUAACAAUUCCUACCCAUUUGCCACUACUCCUCCCUUUAGGCUAAAUUAACUUUAGCCUAAAACUGCCUCUUUACACAUUGUAAAGGUUUCUUCAUACAUAGCGAACUGUAACCUAACUGGAUAUGUAAACAGACUGUAAUCUACUCUUGUGCCAAUCACUGAGUUUCGGCCAAUCACAAGUGGCCAACUGUUCAAAUCAUGUUGAAGUAAGGCAAAGUCUGAUUUGGCUCAUCUGGCUGUUUCUAUACUUCACUUCCAUUUUCUGAACAUUGCUUUCCUUUUCCUGUGCAUAAAUCUUCUUCGACCACGCAGCAGGGCUGGUCUCUCCGAACUUGGUUCGGGAGGCUGUUCAACUCACAAAUCGUUCUUGCUCAGUUAAACUCUGUUAAAUUUAAUUUGUCUAAGGUUUUUUUUUUUUUUUCACCCCUAACCACCAGGAAUUUAUUGAACAUUUUAAUGCUUUAAUUAUUUGAAGUUCCAUCUGUAUCUGACAC